AUUGAACGCUGGCGGCAUGCUUUACACAUGCAAGUCGAACGGUAACAGGGUGCUUGCACCGCUGACGAGUGGCGAACGGGUGAGUAAUGCGUCGGAACGUGCCGAGUAGUGGGGGAUAACGCAGCGAAAGUUGUGCUAAUACCGCAUACGUACUGAGGUAGAAAGUGGGGGACCUUCGGGCCUCACGCUAUUCGAGCGGCCGACGGCUGAUUAGCUAGUAGGUGAGGUAAAGGCUCACCUAGGCGACGAUCAGUAGCGGGUCUGAGAGGAUGCUCGACCACACGGGGAGAGAGACACGGCCGCUGCUGCUACGGGGGGCAGCAGUGGGGAAUUUUGUACAAUGGACGAAUUCCUGAUCGCGGCAUGCCGCGUGACUGAAGAGGGACUUCGGGUUGGAAAGUACUUUUGUCAGGGAGGAGAUCCCUAGUGCUAAUAACACUGGGGGAUGACAGUACCUGAAGAAUAAGCACCGGCUAACUACGUGCCAGCCGCCGCCGUAA
rnacentral:rRNA from 1 species